UGGUGGCCAUAGCGAGGGGGAACCACCCGACCCCAUUCCGAACUCGGAAGUGAAAACCCUCAGCGCCGAUGGUACUGCGUCUUAAGGCGUGGAAGAGUAGGACACCGCC
rnacentral:rRNA from 1 species